AUUGAACGCUGGCGGCAGGCUUAACACAUGCAAGUCGAGCGAGCGGCGGACGGGGGAGUAAUGUCUGGGAAACUGCAUGACGGAGGGGGAUAACUACUGGAAAAGGUAGCUAAUACCGAUUACCAUCAGAUGGUCCAAGAUGGGAUUAGCUAGUAUGUGGGGUAAUGGCUCACCUAGGCGACGAUUCCUCGCCGGUCUGCGAGGAUGACCCGCCACCCUGGACCUGAGCCACGUUCCAGACCCCUACGGGAGGGAUCAGUGGGGAGUCUUGCACAAUGGGCGCAAUCCUGAUGCAGCAAUGCCGCGUGUGUGAAGAAGGCCUUCGGGUUUUAAAGCACUUUCAGCGAUGAGGCGUUACUCGCAGAAGAAGCACCGGCUAACUCCGUGCCAGCCGCCGCGGUAAUAC
rnacentral:rRNA from 1 species